GUCUGUGUAGAUUAUAUAAAUCGUGAUGCUGUUAACUUCAAGAAGGAAUACGUUUCCACAGUCG
rnacentral:tRNA from 2 species